UACGGGGGGGGCAAGCGUUGUUCGGAAUUACUGGGCGUAAAGGGCUCGUAGGCGGCCAACUAAGUCAUACGUGAAAUCCCACGGCUCAACCGUGGAACGGGCGCGGAUACGACUCUUCUGGAGGAACGUAGGGGGACCUGGAACUUCCGGUGGAGCGGUGAAAUGCGUUGAGAUCGGAAGGAACGCCCGUGGCGAAAGCGAGGUCCUGGACGUUUACUGACGCUGAGACGCGAAAGCCAGGGGAGCGAACGGG
rnacentral:rRNA from 1 species